rnacentral:rRNA from 1 species
GUACGGGCAGGGGCAACCCUGUCAGUGGCGGACGGGUGAGUAACGCGUAGGAAUCUGUCUCCGGGUGGGGGAUAACCGUGGGAAACUACGGCUAAUACCGCAUGAUGCCUGAGGGCCAAAGGCGAAAGCCGCCUGGAGAGGAGCCUGCGUCCGAUUAGCUAGUUGGUGGGGUAAAGGCCUACCAAGGCGACGAUCGGUAGCUGGUCUGAGAGGAUGAUCAGCCACACUGGGACUGAGACACGGCCCAGACUCCUACGGGAGGCAGCAGUGGGGAAUAUUGGACAAUGGGCGAAAGCCUGAUCCAGCCAUGCCGCGUGGGUGAAGAAGGUCUUCGGAUUGUAAAGCCCUUUCGGCGGGGACGAUGAUGACGGUACCCGCAGAAGAAGCCUCGGCUAACUUCGUGCCAGCAGCCGCGGUAAU